AAGACCAAGGUUUCCUGAUCAACGCUAAUCGGAUCAGGGUUAGUCGGGACCUAAGACAAACCCGAACGGGGUAGUCGAUGGACAACAUGUUAAUAUUCAUGUACCGGCUCAAUUGCGAUGGGGUGGCGGAGGAGUGAAAGUUCUGCGUACUGACGGAAUAGUACGUUGAAGGGUGUAGAUAUAUUCUGAAUAGUAAAACACGUUUGGAAUGUCGAACCUGAUAGUACCGCAAGCCCUCGGGCAAGCGGAUAAUGAACCUAAUCAGACUCACAAGAAAAACCCCUAAGCUUCAGAUUGAAGCCGCCCGUACCGGAAACCGACACAGGUGGUCGAGGAGAGUAUCCAAAGGCGCUCGAGUGAUUCAUGGUUAAGGAACUAGGCAAAUUAGUCCUGUAACUUCGGAAUAAAGGACCCCUUAUUAAUAUGAGGGCGCAGAGAAAUGGCCCAGGCGACUGUUUAUCAAAAACACAUGGCUUUGCUAAAUCGAAAGAUGACGUAUAAGGCCUGACACCUGCCCGGUGCUGGAAGGUUAAGAGGAGAGGUUAGUCGCAAGGCGAAGCUUUGAAUUGAAGCCCCAGUAAACGGCGGCCGUAACUAUAACGGUCCUAAGGUAGCGAAAUUCCUUGUCGGGUAAGUUCCGACCUGCACGAAUGGUGUAACGAUCUGGGCACUGUCUCAGCCAUGAGCUCGGUGAAAUUGUAGUUCCGGUGAAGAUGCCGGAUACCCGCAACGGGACGGAAAGACCCCGUGCACCUUCACUAUAGCUUAACAUUGACAUUGAAUAAACGAUGUGUAGGAUAGGUGGGAGACUGUGAAGCGGCUUCGCCAGGAGUCGUGGAGUCAUCCUUGAAAUACCACCCUUUGUUUAUUCGGUGCCUAAUCCCGCACAAGCGGGAGACAGUGUUUGGUGGGUAGUUUGACUGGGGUGGUCGCCUCCAAAAGCGUAACGGAGGCUUUCAAAGGUACCCUCAGCACGCUUGGUAACCGUGCGUAGAGUGCAAUGGCAUAAGGGUGCUUGACUGUGAGACCGACAAGUCGAUCAGGUAGGAAACUAGAGCAUAGUGAUCCGGUGGUUCCGCAUGGAAGGGCCAUCGCUCAAAGGAUAAAAGGUACUCCGGGGAUAACAGGCUGAUCACUCCCAAGAGCUCACAUCGACGGAGUGGUUUGGCACCUCGAUGUCGGCUCGUCACAUCCUGGGGCUGGAGAAGGUCCCAAGGGUUCGGCUGUUCGCCGAUUAAAGUGGCACGUGAGCUGGGUUCAGAACGUCGCGAGACAGUUCGGUCUCUAUCUGUUGUGGGCGUUGGAAAUUUGAGGGCACCUGACUCUAGUACGAGAGGACCGAGUCGGACAUACCGCUAGUGUACCUGUUAUGGCGCCAGCUGUACAGCAGGGUAGCUACGUAUGGUUGAGAUAAGCGCUGAAAGCAUCUAAGCGCGAAACUCAGCUCAAGAUGAGAUUUCCUUUAAGGGUCGUUGUAGACUACGACGUUGAUAGGUUGCAGGUAUAAAGGCAGUAAUGUCACAGCCGAGCAAUACUAAUUACCCGUAAAUUUUCUGCU
rnacentral:rRNA from 1 species